rnacentral:rRNA from 3 species
CCUGGCGGCCAUAGCGCCGUGGAACCACCUGAUCCCAUGCCGAACUCAGAAGUGAAACGCGGUAGCGCCGAUGGUAGUGUGGCAUUCG